GGCUGGAUGGUGUAGUUGGUUAUCACGUAUCGCUCACAUCGUCAUCGACAUGUUCCGAUAAGGUCCUGGGAUCGAACCCCAGUCUAGUCA